rnacentral:rRNA from 1 species
GCUAAGAAUAUUCCGCAAUGGACGAAAGUCUGACGGAGCGACGCCGCGUGGAUGACGAAGGCCGAAAGGUUGUAAAGUCCUUUUGUCGAUGAAGAAUAAGUGUGGGAGGGAAUGCCCGCAUGAUGACGUUAGUCGGCGAAUAAGCCCCGGCUAAUUACGUGCCAGCAGCCGCGGUAACACGUAAGGGGCAAGCGUUGUUCGGAAUUAUUGGGCGUAAAGGGUACGUAGGCGGUUUGGUAAGCCCGGCGUGAAAUCCUGCAGCUUAACUGUAGAGCUGCGCUGGGAACUGCGUAACUUGAGUCAUGGAAGGGAAGUUAGAAUUCCAGGUGUAGGGGUGAAAUCUGUAGAUAUCUGGAAGAAUACCGGUGGCGAAGGCGAACUUCUGGCCAAUGACUGACGCUGAGGUACGAAAGUGCGGGGAGCAAACAGGAUUAGAAACCCUGGUAGUCC